UUUAACUAUUAGAUAGGACUCAGACAUCACUAACAUUCAGAGUUUGGUCCUCUGGCGGGCACACACGAGCAGAGCCCGCGGUGGAGGCCACGGCCCGCCAAAGCAACAAGAGUAUGUAGGCACGGGUGGGUGUAAGCCGCCUCCCCACCGUUUGACCGGUGUUCGGCGGCCUCACUUGUAAUGAUCCUUCCGCAGGUUCACCUACGGAAA
rnacentral:misc_RNA from 1 species